GUAGUGAUGGUUUAGUGGUAGAAUUCUCACCUUCCAUGUGGAGACCUGGGUUUGAUUCCCAGCCAAUGCA
rnacentral:tRNA from 1 species